rnacentral:lncRNA from 1 species
AACUAAAAUAACUAUAAAAAAGUAAAGAAAACACAUGCAUAUAGAUGCUCAAGUUAAAAAUAAUAUAUUUUGACUUUCAACUUAAAAGUGAUUGUGGUGCCAAUAUUUUCAUUUGGCCUCAAGAAGGAGAAAAGGACGGUAAAAGGAGAGAAUGGUAGGAGGAGAGGGCAGUAGAUGAAUUUCAUUAGGGUUUUUUUAGGUUUCUUUUAGAUUCCUUUACUAAUCUUAUCGGGCUAAAACAUAAAAUUUAUAUCCGAAACCCAAUAACCCAAAAACUUUUAAUCCAAAAUUCAAAAAAUAUUAAAUAUGCCGAGGUGCGCGCCUUAUGUGCGCCUCGCGCCUCGCCUGAGGCGCGCGCCUCAGGGCCUAGGCGCGCGCCUCAACAAUAGCGCCUCGCCUCGCUAUUGCUGAGGCGCGGAGGCCCGUGCCUCGCGCCUAGGCGCUGAAGAGCACGCCUCAGGCGCGCCUUUUCAAACACUGAGUGGAACUUACUAAAAUGAGUGGGCAUGAUGUGUUUACCAUAAUUUGUGAAAUACAGAAGAUGCAUGUAUCAUGUAUGGAACAAAAUUAUACAGCUAAAAGUGGCUAUAAGAAUCAACAUGUGUUCACCAUAAUUUGUGAGAUAUUUGGAGAUAUA